rnacentral:tRNA from 1 species
AUGGCUCAGUGGUAGAGCAUAUGCUUAGCACACACAAGGUCUUGGGUUCAAUCCCCAGU